UGCCCCGUGGCCCAGAUGGUUAAGGCGUGUGACUGUUACGCAAGUACUCAAUCACAAGAUCGAGAGUUCGAGCCUCUCCGGGGCAG
rnacentral:tRNA from 1 species